AAGCAGGAAUUGUACUGAAUGACAAUGACCUUGAGCAAGGUUUUGAUAUCCUUCCCUCCCCAUUCUAGAAAACCAUGAAAUGAUACAUGCACUUAGCUUUAUGAGGUGGGUCCACACAAAGAAAGGAAGACUUCAGAUUCCUUGGGGGAACCCAUAUUUCACAAAAGAGGAGACUGAGGCAGGAGCUGGUGAAGACUUGCCAAGAGUCAUACAGUGUCUGAGGUUGGAUUUGUACUCAGGUUUUGAAUUCAAAUGAUUUAUUUACAUCAUCACUUAUAUCUGCUCUGAUCAAGAUUUGUAGAAUCAUAAGUUGAGAAAUGGAGAGAACCUUGGAGACCAACCAUCUACUCCAAUCAUCCCUCUCCCCUAAGUUUUCAACUAAUACUGGAUAAUAGUAAAUAUCAUCUCAUUUUAUCCUUACAACUUAUCUUGUGAGGCAGUUGCUACUAUUAUUCCCAUUUUACAGUUAUGAAAACAGAAACAUACAAAGGUCAAGUGACCUAUUCUAUGUCACACUACUAGUAAAUGUCUAAAGGAUGAAUUUGAAUUUCCUGACUCCAGGGCUGGUGCUCUAUCCAUUGAACCACACUGGACUACCUAGCUGCCUAAGAAGAAGAAUAUAAGUCCCAGAAGUUAGGUAACUUGUUCAAGGUCAAAUACUAACAUCAUAUAUGAGAUUUGCACCCAAAUCCCCUUACUCCAAAUCCAGGCUUUUCAGUUAGGAUUUAUUGAUUACUUUAUGCCCACUACUGUUGUGGGAGAUGAGUAAGAAAGUACAUCUCUACCAAAGAGAUGGAAAGCUUUGCCCCUACUUCCAAUCAGCUUAGUAUCUAGAGAGAGAAACAAGAGUAUAUGACAAAUGACAGAGAAUCAUUCAAUUCAUUUUCACAUAAUUUAAAUGCAGGACAUAAAUGUUACAAGUUAAUAGGAAAGCAAGAGAUGGGGGAGAAAUAGAAGAACUACAAAAGUCUUCAUUGAAGAAGAGACUGAACCCUGAGGAAUGUGUUAGAUUUGGGAAAAAGACUUGAAGAUGGUGAGAGGAGUAAGAGAACAUUAUGAUCUGUUGUUGCUAUUCAGUCACUUAGUCGUGUUUGACUACAUGACACCAUCAACUUUUGUCUAUGAGAUACUGGAAUUGUUGGACAUUUUUCCCUCUAAGGUAUCCCCAUUUUACAGAUGAGGAACAGAGGCAAAUGGGAACUAGGUGACUUGCACAGGGCCAUAUAGCUAAUAAGUGUCUGAGGCCAGAUCUGAACUCAGAUCUUCUUGACUCCAGACCCAAUGCUCUAUCCAAUGCAUGACCCAGAUGCCCUGACAUUCUGGGUUACCUUCAUUUAAAUCCUAGAUUAUUAGAUCCAGGAGGGAUUUUUUUAAAGUUUCAAUCCAAUCUCCAUAUAGGUCAAUUAAGAGGAGAAAUUGAAGGUCCAAGCAGAAGAAAUGAUAUCCCAAAUCAUAUAGUAAAUUAGACUCACCCAUAGGACUAAAACCCAGUGUUCUAGUUGAAAAAAAAAAGCAUCCCUCCAACAAAAGUUAAAAAAACUUCAGACUACUUUGUGAAGCGUAGCUCAAUCAAUUAUCAAACUGUAUCAUAUACUAAAACAAUGAAAGCCAAGACAGUUGAAUCAUUGUCACCAUCAAAGAAGCUGCUUUUAGAACAGCCUAUAGGCUAGAGAAUCACCCAAAUCUAGUACCUUUGCCCUGUCCCAGCCCUGAUCCUCCUGUAUUGUUUGGAGAAUGUUUGGUUUCCUGGGUAGAAGGGGAGGAAGGAAUAAGAGAAGAGGGCAAGGAUGGCUGCUUGACCUUCCCUUGUCAUACUGCAGACAAAUGCAGUAAGCACUAGGGAGUUAAGAUCCUUAUAGCAAAUUGCCUGCUCUCCCACUCUAUUACUAAGGUGACCCAGAUUCCUUCCUCUUUUGCGCUAUUUUACAAGUCAUUGCAGGUAUGAUUUCAGAAACUGAUGGCAAGUUUGCAAAAAUUCCAUUUUUAUCAUCAGCCCCCUUUAAGUGACAACAGAAUUAAGAAGGUGCUCAUAGAAUUCUAGGUUGAUAGAAUCCCAGAGUUUGAAGGAAACUCAGAGGUCAUUGAUUACAGAAUAAAAGAAUGACAGAGUUUCA
ensembl:lncRNA